rnacentral:rRNA from 1 species
AUUGAACGCUGGCGGCAGGCCUAACACAUGCAAGUCGAGCGAGCGGCGGACGGGUGAGUAAUGUCUGGGAACCUGCCUGAUGGAGGGGGAUAACUACUGGAAACGGUAGCUAAUACCGCAUCCCAUCAGAUGUGCCCAGAUGGGAUUAGCUAGUAGGUGGGGUAAUGGCUCACCUAGGCGCCGAUCCCUCGCUGGUCUGAGAGGAUGACCAGCCACCAUGGAACUGAGACACGGUCCCGAGUCCGACGGGAGGCAGAAGUGGGGAAUAUUGCACAAUUGGCGCAAGCCUGAUGCAGCCAUGCCGCGUGUGUGACGAAGGCUUUCGGGUUGUAAAGCACUUUCAGCGGGGAGGCGUUACCCGCAGAAGAAGCACCGGCUAACUCCGUGCCAGCAGCCGCGGUAAUUC